ensembl:miRNA
GGAACCUUAGUAAGGUUUGGAUAGAUGCAAUAAAGUAUGUCCAUAGCUGAAAGACAUACUUUAUUGCAUGUAUCCAAACCUUACUAAUUCA